rnacentral:rRNA from 1 species
GAUGAACGCUAGCUACAGGCUUAACACAUGCAAGUCGAGGGGCAGCGGGGAUCUAGCUUGCUAGAUUUGCCGGCGACCGGCGCACGGGUGAGUAACACGUAUCCAACCUGGCCCAUACUCGGGUAUAGCCUCUCGAAAGGGAGAUUAAUCCCCGAUGUUGUUGUUUCACCGCAUGGUGUACCAACCAAAGAAUUUCGGUAUGGGAUGGGGAUGCGUUCCAUUAGCUUGUUGGCGGGGUAACGGCCCACCAAGGCGACGAUGGAUAGGGGUUCUGAGAGGAAGGUCCCCCACACUGGAACUGAGACACGGUCCAGACUCCUACGGGAGGCAGCAGUGAGGAAUAUUGGUCAAUGGGCGAGAGCCUGAACCAGCCAAGUAGCGUGAAGGAUGACUGCCCUACGGGUUGUAAACUUCUUUUGUUUGGGAAUAAAGUUCAGCACGUGUGCUGUUUUGUAUGUACCAUUCGAAUAAGCAUCGGCUAAUUCCGUGCCAGCCGCCGCCGUAACAC